AGCCCUGUGGCUCAGUUGGUAGAGCAUGGUGUGUGCAACGCCAGGGUUGUGGGUUUGAUUCCCACGGGGGGCCA
rnacentral:tRNA from 1 species